GGCUCUCCCAUGGUGGCGUGGUGAGCACUACCUGCAGCAGCAACACACUGACUUGCUACCAGCCAGGCAACUCCUACAGAAAAAGGCAGCUCUGCUUCUGAGCAGCUUGCCUAAAGUCACAGAUGGAGUCCCACUGGCCUGACUCGGAUCCCACGCUCACCUCUGAACCAAUCACCAUGGCCAGGGGAAAGGAGAACACUGAUUGGUCAGGCCUAGGUCAUGUGCCUCUCCCUGGAUCCAAGUGGUGGGGUGGGUUCGCCAAAACCACUGUGACCUGCUAGUGAGCACGGAUGGUUCCCUCAAGUAAAACCGCAAUUAGAUCCUUACUUCUAAGAUAACACAGAUGAAUCCAAAAAAGAAGAGUCAUGUGCAGACAUUCAGGGGAUAGAAAGAAGAGGAAGCCUAGUUCCGGUUAAGGAAAUGGAGCUGUGGGCAGAAAAGUUAAAGAACUAAGAGGUAAGGGCUGAUUCGUUCCACUUCUUUGGAAAUACGACGGUGAGACAGCAUGGCAUGCAUCCUGGAGGAGCUUAUAGGUGGGAACAGUCAGAGCUGCAAACCUAUACAACAAACUACCUCAACACAACAAAAUUGCUUUAACGUCUCGUUGGCCCUUUAUUCAGCCAAUGUUGACAGUCCCCUGCGUGCGCAGGUGCUGUUCAGGCCUUAGGGACACAGCACUGAAGGCAGGAGAAGGCGGACACAGUUCCUGCUCAUGGGGUUACGUGCUAGUUGGGAGAGAAAGGAAACAAACACGUGACCCUGCUCAUGAGCAGAAGCGCUUCCCACGUGCGUGGCAACUGCCUGGAAGGAAAGUAGAGCAGGGCGAUGUGUCAUAGCGUGACUGGAGGUGGGAGUGGGGGGCCCUUUGGACAGACAGUCAGCAAAGACAUCAAGAGGAGGUAGCAGCUGAGACGUAAGAAUAAACAGGCAAGAAGAUCCCACGGAGAGGAGGGCUCCAGGAAAAGGCCCUGAGGCAGGAAUAGACGUGGUGUGGCUGAGGAUCAGACAGCGGGUCAGCGGGCUAGAGCACGGGGUGGGGGGUGGGGCAGUAGAACCCGGGGACAGAGGCGGGGCAGGAGCCAGAUCCUAUCCUGAGGGUGCCCCGUCUGAAUGUCCCGACCGGUUUAUUUACGGGCAGGUCUUGUUCCUACGUGCAGUGGGCGUGAAGGCCGGCUCCGUGUCUGAUUCCUACAAGGACACGUCUGCCCCCACCUCUCCCACAGCUUUCACACUGCCUGGCAUCUAUCAGACAUUCCUUGAAUAUCUCCUGCAGUCAGAGAGUGUGACCCAGCAGAAAGGACUGGAUUAGAAUCCUGGUUCUGCCACUUUGUAGCUACGGAGAGUUGGACAAAUCACUUAAACUCACUGGCGCUCUCACGCGAAGGUAGGAUAAUAUGGGUCUCUCAGGGUGUUUAAAAUAGCAAGACCAUGUGGGAGAGCGUGCAGAGUGCAAGUUCUUUCAUUAAAUGAUAGUUUUUCUCCCUGAUUUCAUUGGCAAGAAUGGGAAUUAUGGCCUAGUGUCAGGUGGGUUUGAUGAAAAAAUCUGCCUUCCUAAUUUUUGUUCAUUCUCGAAGUCCCAUGGGGAUAACGGAUUUUGGAAAUGGAGCGCAGGGUGGAAUAAAAAGGAUUAACAGACGGUAAGAAGAACAGAGUGGCGUGGGAUACAGGCGAAAGAAAUUGGACCUGUUUCCAAGGGAAAGGGGCAAAGGAGUGAGCCUGGAGAUGUGCCCGAGGAGGCUGUGUUUCAUAUCGCUGCUGAUUAGGAAGACAACCCAGGGAGGGGCUGCAUUCCAAACUCGCCUGCUUUUCAGUCCCGAGAAAGAGAGGAAGGCUGCUUCUCUCAGCGGGGGGAGAGUCUGCCUGAUUACCGACAGAAGGUGACAUUGGAGAGUACCGUCUCAGUUGUCAGAUCUGAAUAAACUUGUACCUCUUUGCA